CCUACGGGAGGCAGCAGUGGGGAAUAUUGGGCAAUGGGCGCAAGCCUGACCCAGCAACGCCGCGUGAAGGAAGAAGGCCCUCGGGUUGUAAACUUCUUUUAUCAGGGACGAAGCAAGUGACGGUACCUGAUGAAUAAGCCACGGCUAACUACGUGCCAGCAGCCGCGGUAAUACGUAGGUGGCAAGCGUUAUCCGGAUUUACUGGGUGUAAAGGGCGUGGAGGCGGGAAAGCAAGUCAGAUGUGAAAACCAUGGGCUCAACCUGUGGCCUGCAUUUGAAACUGUUUUGCUUGAGUACUGGAGAGGCAGACGGAAUUCCGAGUGUAGCGGUGAAAUGCGUAGAUAUUAGGAGGAACACCAGUGGCGAAGGCGGUCUGCUGGACAGCAACUGACGCUGAGGCGCGAAAGCGUGGGGAGCAAACAGGAUUAGAUACCCGAGUAGUC
rnacentral:rRNA from 1 species